rnacentral:tRNA from 1 species
AGUAAAAUAAGUUAAUUUAAACUAUUGGGCUCAUAUUUCAAAAAUAAAGAUAUUAUCUUUUUUUACUU